CUGCUGCCUCCCGUAGGAGUUUUGGGCCGUGUCUCAGUCCCAAUGUGGCCGUCCACCCUCUCAGGCCGGCU
rnacentral:rRNA from 1 species